CGCUCCCUUGAAGCUCACCUAUGCAGGUUUGAGGUGAAACAGAGCAGUACAGCGCGAAGGCUAUCCACCUGGUUCCUGCUAAGCCAUGGCAUGGGGAGGGGAGGGGAGGGGUAAUAAAGAAUGGAAUGUGGCCUUAAUGCCCAGCGGGAUUACGUCCAUCCAGGCUCUCUUCCCCCCAUGUUGCUCCACUACACCUGGAGGGAUUUCUGGAUGUAUCCCAUGGGGUUUUCCAUGUCCUAGUUCUCACACAGUGGCCCUAAUCCACCUUCCCACACCUGAUGAUCUGGAGGAGGGUCAGAAGCCUCACUCACAGUGUGUGGAGCCCCCAGAUGUAUGGAUAUAGACGUCCGCCCACGUGCCUUUUCGUUAUGGGCUCAAGAAGCACAGCCGUGCAUGUUCUAUCUGUUGUGGCGUUAUCACAACACUACACAGUCACAACACCAUACCUGUUCUGCUUUGCACAGGAAGGUUCAGGACCACUAUUUGUUGUCUUUUUAAAUUGUGGGCUUUUAUUUCUUCCAGCUCUCUGAAUAUAAAAACAUUCAUGUAGUGUGUGGAUAAAGUAGUGGCUAUGGGGUGCGAGACUCCCAGCCAAAAUGGUGUUUCUGUCUGAUGCCCAGGUUCAAAUGGUGUUUCUGUCUGAUGCCCAGGUUCAAAUGGGGUUUCUGUCUGAUGCCCUGGUUCAAAUGGGGUUUCUGUCUGAUGCCCAGGUUCAAAUGGGGUUUCUGUCUGUGUGCACAGACGACAGGAUAAGGCCUACUUUGUGAAGUUUUCCCGCGUCAAGAUGCCAACUGUUCCCGUCGUGUCACACCAUUGUUAGGACGGACGUGUUAGAAAGGAACGCAGUCCUCUACAGCAUAUCACUACGCCUGGAUCCCAGCGAGUCAGGAUGUGAUUGCCACGGUGUUUGGAAGGGAACGUUAAACUCGGAGUGGCAUGGGAACCGAUGUCGGAAUGCCGUGUGAAAAGUGGGGCAGUCAUCAACGCAGCCUGUUUCAAGAAGUGACACUGAAGCGAGGAGGGGGAGAGAAGAGAGACAUCUGAAGACAACCACACACUGACACCAGGUUUAGGAAUCCAACUGAAAC
ensembl:lncRNA